GGCCUACCAUGGUCGUUACGGGUAACGGGGAAUUAGGGUUCGAUUCCGGAGAGGGAGCCUGAGAAACGGCUACCACAUCCAAGGAGGGCAGCAGGCGCGCAAAUUACCCAAUCCCGACACGGGGAGGUAGUGACAAUAAAUAACAAUACAGGGCUUUCUAGUCUUGUAAUUGGAAUGAGUACAAUUUAAAUCCCUUAACGAGGAACAAUUGGAGGGCAAGUCUGGUGCCAGCAGCCGCGGUAAUUCCAGCUCCAAUAGCGUAUAUUAAAGUUGUUGCAGUUAAAAAGCUCGUAGUUGAAUUUCGGGAUUGACACAUCGGUCGUGCCUUAAGGGGUAUGAACUGGUGUAGUCAAUUUCUCACCUUCUGGAGAACCACGAUGCCCUUAAUUGGGUGUCGCGGGGAACCAGGACCUUUACUUUGAAAAAAUUAGAGUGUUUAAAGCAGGCAUUUUGCUUGAAUACAUUAGCAUGGAAUAAUAAAAUAGGACGGCAUGAUUCUAUUUUGUUGGUUUCUAGGAUCACCGUAAUGAUUAAUAGGGAUAGUUGGGGGCAUUAGUAUUCAAUUGUCAGAGGUGAAAUUCUUGGAUUUAUUGAAGACUAACUACUGCGAAAGCAUUUGCCAAGGAUGUUUUCAUUAAUCAAGAACGAAAGUUAGGGGAUCGAAGACGAUCAGAUACCGUCGUAGUCUCAACCAUAAACUAUACCGACUAAGCAUCGAAAGGGUCGCUUCACAAAAGGUCGGCUUCGCCAGAGCUCCCAG
rnacentral:rRNA from 1 species